GUAGUGGUGGUUCAGUGGUAGAUUCUUGCCUUCCAUGCAAGAGAUCCGAGUUCGAUUCCGGCCAAUGUA
rnacentral:tRNA from 1 species